GCCGAAGUGGUGGAACUGGUAGACGCGCAUGGUUCAGGACCAUGUGGGCUUCGCCCGUGGGAGUUCGAGUCUCCCCUUCGGCA
rnacentral:tRNA from 1 species